rnacentral:rRNA from 1 species
UACGAAGGGGGCUAGCGUUGCUCGGAAUCACUGGGCGUAAAGGGUGCGUAGGCGGGUCUUUAAGUCAGGGGUGAAAUCCUGGAGCUCAACUCCAGAACUGCCUUUGAUACUGAGGAUCUUGAGUUCGGGAGAGGUGAGUGGAACUGCGAGUGUAGAGUUGAAAUUCGUAGAUAUUCGCAAGAACACCAGUGGCGAAGGCGGCUCACUGGCCCGAUACUGACGCUGAGGCACGAAAGCGUGGGGAGCAAACAGG